AAGGCAGCAGGCGCGCAAAUUACCCACUCCCAGCACGGGGAGGUAGUGACGAAAAAUAACGAUACGGGACUCAUCCGAGGCCCCGUAAUCGGAAUGAGUACAAUUUAAAACUUUUCCCGAGGAUCAAUUGGAGGGUAAGUCUGGUGCCAGCAGCCGCGGUAAUUCCAGCUCCAAUAGCGUAUAUUAAAGUUGUUGCGGUUAAAAAGCUCGUAGUCGAAUCUGUGUCCCGCGCCGCUGGUUCAUCGCUCGCGGUGUUUAACUGGCGUGUCUCGCGGGACGUCCUGCCGGUGGGUGCUCGUAUCGUUUCGACGGUGCGUCGCCCUACUCGUAGCCGUCUUGUGCGGUUGCGAAUCCCAUCGCGGUGCUCUUUAUUGAGUGUCGAGGUGGGCCGGCACGUUUACUUUGAACAAAUUAGAGUGCUUAAAGCAGGCCAAUUUUGCCUGAAUAUUGUGUGCAUGGAAUAAUGGAAUAGGACCUCGGUUCUAUUUUGUUGGUUUUCGGAACCCCGAGGUAAUGAUUAAUAGGAACGGAUGGGGGCAUUCGUAUUGCGACGUUAGAGGUGAAAUUCUUGGAUCGUCGCAAGACGGACAGAAGCGAAAGCAUUUGCCAAAAACGCUUUCAUUGAUCAAGAACGAAAGUUAGAGGUUCGAAGGCGAUCAGAUACCGCCCUAGUUCUAACCAUAAACGAUGCCAGCUAGCGAUCCGCCGACGUUCCUCCGAUGACUCGGCGGGCAGCUUCCGGGAAACCAAAGCUUUUGGGUUCCGGGGGAAGUAUGGUUGCAAAGCUGAAACUUAAAGGAAUUGACGGAAGGGCACCACCAGGAGUGGAGCCUGCGGCUUAAUUUGACUCAACACGGGACACCUCACCAGGCCCGGACACCGGAAGGAUUGACAGAUUGAUAGCUCUUUCUUGAUUCGGUGGGUGGUGGUGCAUGGCCGUUCUUAGUUGGUGGAGCGAUUUGUCUGG
rnacentral:rRNA from 1 species